rnacentral:miRNA from 1 species
AAACAAAUCGCUAUCGAAAGUUCCAUGCUUCCUUGCAUUCAAUAGUGAUUCUGAAAGCAUAUGGAAUGUAAAGAAGUAUGGAGCGCUCGGGCAAACUC